GCUGGGUGUGGUGGCACACGCCUAUAAUCCCAGCAGCUUGGGAGGCUGAGACAGGAGGAUCGCAAGUUCAAAGCCAGCCUCAGCAAUUUAGCAAGGCCCUAAGUAACUCAGUGAGACCCUGUCUCUA
rnacentral:sRNA from 1 species